UGUAGGAUGUUUGAGCCGGAUAAAUAUCCCGGCCUUGAUGAUUAUUACGAGGAGAAGCAUCGUGAUGUGCUAGUGGAAAGAGGGGAGGUUCCUCCAGUACUUCGGUUGAGAGGCCACAACCCACGUGAGUCCCUGAAGUAUGACCGUCGCUACGAGCAUUAUUUUAGAAGAAUGGGUCUUCUCCAGUUUGUGCUCAACUUUAAAGGCACACCACCAUGGCUGAACUCAACGGCCAUUACCGCCCUUACGGACCGUCGGAGGCCGGAGACGCACUCUUUUCACCUUGCUCUUGGUGAGAUGACGUCACUUUGGAGGAUAUUGCGAUGAUCUCCGGUCUUCCGAUCAAGAGCAGGGCUCUUACCGGGAAGGUGAAGUCUGAGGGGUGGCGACAAGGGGUUGCAGGUUUGGUUGGUGUUGAACCUUCCCCGUGGAUUCAUGAAACAAAGAAGGAUCCUAGGCCAUCUGGUGUUUUGUUCUCGUGGCUACAAGAACAUUUUUACGAGUGCCCAGAGAGUGCCAGUCCGGCUAUUGUGGAGAGGUACGCCAGGGCUUACUUAUGGAAUCUUUUGACUCAAGUGGUGUUUCCUGACGGGACGGGAGACACAGCCUCGUGGAUGUUCUUGGACCCUCUUUGUAACUGGGAUGUUAAGUGGAGUUGGGGGUCAGCGGCACUAGCCUUCUUGUACCGUCAGUUGGACGGAGCAUGUAUGAGAAGUAAGCCGAAAUCUUGUCUUGGUGAUUUUGUUUGGGCCCUAUAGAUUUGGAUGUGGGAGCGUAUCCCUGUGGGCCGUAACUUGACCAUUGCUCCGGAAGAACCUUGGGAGUGGCCUUUUGACGGGGAUGAGGAGCGGUAUCCCACUAUCGCAUACAUGUGGGCUAUUGUCCAAGUGUCGAGUAUCGCCGCCAUGGGGCGGUACAAGGCAUACAUAAGCGAGCUUGACAUGCUUACUUAC